rnacentral:rRNA from 1 species
AGUGAACGCUGGCGGUAGGCCUAACACAUGCAAGUCGAACGGAAGCACAGUAAGAGCUUGCUCUUACGGGUGGCGAGUGGCGGACGGGUGAGGAAUACAUCGGAAUCUACUUUUUCGUGGGGGACAACGUAGGGAAACUUACGCUAAUACCGCAUACGAUCUACGGGUGAAAGCAGGGGAUCUUCGGACCUUGCGCGAUUGAAUGAGCCGAUGUCGGAUUAGCUAGUUGGCAGGGUAAAGGCACACCAAGGCGACGAUCCGUAGCUGGUCUGAGAGGAUGAUCAGCCACACUGGAACUGAGACACGGUCCAGACUCCUACGGGAGGCAGCAGUGGGGAAUAUUGGACAAAGGGCGCAAGCCUGAUCCAGCCAUACCGCGUGGGUGAAGAAGGCCUUCGGAUUGUAAAGCCCUUUUGUUGGGAAAGAAAAGCAGCAGGUUAAUACCCCGCUGUUCUGACGGUACCCAAAGAAUAAGCACCGGCUAACUUCGUG